rnacentral:tRNA from 1 species
GGUCGUGGUUCAGUGGUAGAGCACUUGCCUAGCAUGUGUGAGGCACUGGGUUCGAAUCUCAGCACCA